ACAUUCCAGAUGCCGCGCUAGAAGCUUUAAAUUUUGAACAAGAUGGAAGUCAAAACCACCCAAUAGGUUUUCCUGAAAUUACAGACGAAGACUUAUCAAGCGUUAUUCCUCAAGAAGAAAUGUUGAAGGGGAGAGCACUUAAAGGGGCCAAGAAAUUUCCCUCUGAGGCAGCUGCAGUUGGAAGCAAGGGUAUUAAGCACACCGAUUUUGAACAGCCCUGCACGUCCAAAUCCCUUAUUGAACAAAACCAGCCGGCAUUAAAAAAGGCCAAAAAGUCUACCUCUAAAACAGCAUCCGUUUUCAGGGCGGGGGGAAAGGAGCUCAG